GGCUGGGUGGCCGAGUGGUCUAAGGCGGUAGACUCAAGAACACAAGUUCUUCCCCGCAGCGCAGGGUGCAUUCUACUCUCGAAAGAGGCGCGCGUUCGAAUCGCGCCCCAGUCA
rfam:Thielavia terrestris NRRL 8126 chromosome 1, complete sequence.